ensembl:lncRNA
CGUGGGGCAACGGCUGCCGUGGAACUGUGAAGGCAGACAACAAGUGUGAUUUGCGAAGCGUGUCUGAAAAAUGGCUGAAAAAGCCGAAAUUUAGUGGCCGGAAAGGCGACUACUAGACCUUGAGGAGAUUUAUGACAUGAGAUGACAUCCUGAAGGAAUGGAGAGACAAAGAGAGACGGAUGGAGCGCUGGUGUCUGAACUCAGAGGUCCCAGUGGAUGUGCACUAUGCAGAAUGGCGUUGGAGGAAGACAGAAAUAACUGCAGAACAUUCAUCUGAUAGCGUAGCUCUUUGCUCACUUCGGAGGUGGAAGGUCUUUUAUUCCUGCACUUCAUGUGUAAAUGAAUGGCCCAAGGACAAGUGUCCUUGACAUGAGUAUUAAGUAACAAGGAAGAGAGAGA